AAUCAAAUGCGCUGUUUCUUUUAUUUCCAGUAGUUUAGACAUUCAAUCUUCAUCAAGUUUACAAUACAAGCAAAGCCAUUCUUCCCCCAGCAUGCCUAUGAGGAUUUGAAAAGUAACUACGCUACAUAGUAAUGUUACAACCAGAGCCAAAAAUUUUUAUAGAAAAUUAUUUUGAAGAUGAAGCAUCCUUUGAAUCUUGUUUUGAUCCUGACAUAGCAGCGCUUGCAGCUAUUGUCAUGGCUGUUGCUGCUGCUCCCAGCUUAGCACCACCAGCAGCCUUCAUUGCACCCGCCACUUUUGCAAAUACGGCAAUCCCUCCAACAAGCAUAGCCCUCAAAGCAACUGUUGGUUUUACUGCCAUUUCUUGUGCGACCUGAAUCUCGGAACCGAAGAUGUCCUUGUGCUGACAACGAUAGUAUUUGCAGAGUGAAAGAGGAAAUGAGAGAGGGAAAGGGAUAUAU
rnacentral:misc_RNA from 1 species